AUUGAACGCUGGCGGCAGGCCUAACACAUGCAAGUCGAACGAGUCGCGGACGUGUGAGCAAUGUCUGGGACACUGCCUGAUGGAGGGGGUUAGUUACUGGUAACGGUCGCUAAUCCCGCAUACCAUCAGAUGGGUCCAGAUGGGAUUGGCUUGUUGGUGGGGUAAUGUCUCACCAAGGCGACGCUCCCUCGCUGGUCUGAGAGGAUGACCAGGCACACUGGAACUGAGACACGGUCCAGACUCCGACGGGAGGCAGCAGUGGGGAAGAUUGCACAAUGGGCGCAAGCCUGAUCCAGCCAUGCCGCGGGUAUGAAGAAGGGCUUCGGGUUGUAAAGUACUUUCAGCGGGGAGGCGUUACCCGCAGAAGAAGCACCGGCUAACUCCGUGCCAGCAGCCGCGGUAAUUC
rnacentral:rRNA from 1 species